GUACUUACCUGACGUAGGGGAUACCGUGAUCAUGAAUGCGGUUCGUCCCGGGUGAGGCUCUUCCAUUACACUUCGGUCGAGUUGACCCCCGCGAUUACUCCAAAUGUGAGGAACUCGUGCGCAUGCUUUUUGGUGAUCGGGACUGCGUUAGGGCUGCCCCGGU